UUAGUAUUGAUCUUUGUCUCUUCAUCUUCCCUCAGGGGUUCGGUAAUCUGCCGAUCUGCAUGGCCAAGACGCAUCUAUCACUCUCUCACGAGGCCGACAAGAAGGGUGUGCCCACAGGUUUCAUCCUGCCAAUCAGAGACAUCCGAGCAAGUGUGGGAGCCGGCUUCCUGUUUCCACUCGUCGGCACGAUGCCUACAAUCCCUGGUCUUCCCACCAGACCUUGUUUCUAUGACAUUGACCUGGAUCCUGAGACUGAGCAGGUCAACGGGCUCUUCUAAUGACCGUAUGAUGAAAUGACCCUCGACCCCUAAAUGAGCCUUAAUGAAAUGCGAUGGACUACUAAAUGGAGGUGCCUCCAGCUCAUCUGCUGCUCCUGUUUCUUUCUUUCUUUCUUUCAGGUCCUCACAACUCUUAAUACUUGAUAUGCCUUCCCCAGCGAGAUGCUGACUUCUAAAUCAAGAUACUUGCCAAAAAACACGUCACCAUACGCAGUAUUUUAUCAUUUUUAUUUUGAAAUUUUGACCAACAUUGUGACUAACGCCUGUCCACUGUUCUGUUUUGCCUCAAGGUAAAUAUGUCUGGUACUGUCUAACAUUGCUGCAAGAAAUGAAAAUAAAUGUCACAAAUCAUUGAUUUA